rnacentral:tRNA from 1 species
GAGGGUAUAGCUUAAGUGGUAGAGAGAGUGCCUAGCGUGAACGAGGCCCUGGGUUCAAUCCCCAGUACCUCCA